rnacentral:ncRNA from 1 species
AGAAACAAAGAGAGAUGACUAGUAAUUAUAGUGCAAACUUCAGCGAGAUGAUGGUAGGUGUGAAUCAUCGUUAGCCUGUAAUGAAUCCACAUCUUAUUCUGCCUAUGAAAAACAUCAAGUAGUGCCGGUCCCAGCCGUUAUUGGUUAAGCGCAAGAUUUAUGAUGAAUCUUGAAUUAGGGUGGUACCGCGACUGAACCUUUCGUCCCUUUC